rnacentral:rRNA from 1 species
CAGCAGCCGCGGUAAUACGGAGGAUCCAAGCGUUAUCCGGAUUUAUUGGGUUUAAAGGGUGCGUAGGCGGCUUAUUAAGUCAGGGGUGAAAGACGGUGGCUCAACCAUCGCAGUGCCUUUGAUACUGAUGAGCUUGAAUAUACUUGAGGUAGGCGGAAUGUGACAAGUAGCGGUGAAAUGCAUAGAUAUGUCACAGAACACCGAUUGCGAAGGCAGCUUACCAAGGUAUGAUUGACGCUGAGGCACGAAAGCGUGGGGAUCAAACAGGAUUAGAUACCCUGGUAGUCCACGCCCUAAACGAUGAAUACUCGAUGUUGGCGAUAUACAGUCAGCGUCCAAGCGAAAGCGUUAAGUAUUCCACCUGGGGAGUACGGCCGCAAGGUUGAAACUUAAAGGAAUUGGCGGG